rnacentral:rRNA from 1 species
GAUGAACGCUGGCGGCGUGCCUAAUACAUGCAAGUCGAGCGAAGCGGGGACGGGUGAGUAACACGUGGAUAACCUCCUAUAAGACUGGGAUAACUUCGGGAACCCGGAGCUAACCCGGAUACAUACAGAUGGAUCCCCGCCGCAUUAGCUAGUUGGUAAGGUAACGGCUUACACAGGCGACGAUGCGUAGCCGACCAGAGAGGGUGAUCGGCCUCACUGGAACUGAGACAAGGGCCAGACGCCUACGAGAGGCAACAGUAGGGAAUCUUCCGCAAUGGGCGAAAGCCUGACGGAGCAACGCCGCGUGAGUGAUGAAGGUCUUCGGAACGUAAAACUCUGUUAUUAGGGAAGCGGUACCUAAUCAGAAAGCCACGGCUAACUACGUGCCAGCAGCCGCGGUAAUAC